rnacentral:rRNA from 1 species
GAAAUGCGAUAAGUAAUGUGAAUUGCAGAAUUCAGUGAAUCAUCGAAUCUUUGAACGCAUCUUGCGCUCCCUGGUAUUCCGAGGAGCAUGCCUGUUUGAGUGUCAUCUAAAUCCUCAAACCACACUGAUUCUGUCAGUGUGGCUUGGAAAUGGGGGUAGUGCAGGUUUUAUCUAAAAUGGAGUCUGCUCCCCUGAAAUGCAUUAGUGGUAUCUGAGCAGAGGAACUACUACAGGUGUGAUAAUUUAUCUAUGCCUUAGUAUGCUGCGUAAACGGAUUGCACUGCUUAUAACCAAUCUUUUAUUUUAUUUUUUUGGAGACCUCAAAUCAGGUAGGACUACCCGCUGAACUUAAGCAUAUCAAUAAGCGGAGGAAAAGAAACUAACAAGGAUUCCCCUAGU